UCAUGCUAAGCGGGGCGCUACCGGUGCCUUGAACCUGAAAUCCGGUUUAGCAGGGCUGAAUCCCUAAGAUUGAGGCUACGUUUUUCUUGAGGUCUGGCUUAAGUAAGUGGCGUUGAAGGCUGGGUCCUGCGCAACUUGAAGUUACCCAACCCCGUCAGAUCCGGAAGGAAGCAGCGGUAAGUAAUCUCUCAGGUGUGCCGCAGGGGCGCCUGGCUGGAGUUGGCUGCUUAGGUAACGCUUGAGGAGGCUAGUCGAAGUUAGGUGCAUGG
rnacentral:SRP_RNA from 1 species